AAUGGUUUGAGUAAAUUGGUUUUCGUUAAAUUAACUAAUUUAUUUAUUGUAUACAAGGUACAUCGAUUUUAUAAUACGUUUAUUACGCAUUCAAUAUAUAUAUAUAUAUAUAUCAUUCCUGAGUCCUCCGUGUAAGAACUCUACGAAAAUUGUACGUCCUACAAGACGAAAUUACUGCCGUUUUCCAAAGACUCGUGUCUGUUCCAAUUAGUAAUCGGAGUACUUAGUUUAAUUUUUCCAUUUCGUCGGUAUACUUUUAAGCAACGUGAACAUUUCAAUUCCAGCCGGUUCAAUUGUAACUUCAAUUAUUAUAAUAUUUAAUCGUCGUCGUCGUAAUCACGUCGAACCCUUUUGCGGAAUAUACGCAAUAUGGUCGCGACCGAUGCGCCUGGCUCACGCGCGUAAUAGGUGUACGGCGGAUGCGCUGUGUCAGUGUAACUAAGUGAUAUAAUAACUGUUUACAAUAGAACAUUUAACAUUAUAAACACCAUGCAAAUACAUGUUUAUUACAGUGGUACGGUUCGUAUUGAGCAAACAGUUUACAAGUCAUAAACACAAAAAUAUAUCGUGCACAAGGCGGAGAACGUUUCAUUGUGUGCGCAUCGAACACGAAUAGGCACGCAGACACACAAGCUUGUUUUUAUUGAUCCAGUGAAAGUGAAAACAUGUUGGUCGCUAUAGAUUUUCAGUUAAAAAUGUGAGUUGUGCUGUUAAAAAAGAUUGAGAACCAUUAAUACUUAGCUCGAGGAUCAAUGGUCAAUGUAGAGUUUGAUAUGAUAUUAACUUUCGGCUAAUGACGAUCACAUUUUAUAUAACUACAAAAUUUUCUGGUCCACCUGGUUGUAUUUUAAAUUUUUUUUUGUGGAGAUUUCGAAUCAUAUCACUGUCGAUGUUUCUAUGGCAUUGCUCAAAAGAUCAGCGCUUGCUCCAAAAAAAAUUGUCAAUUACUAUUACCGAGGGUGUAAUAACAACAUAAACCCAUAUUAUAAUAUACAUAAUACAUAUAAUAAUUUUGGUUUUUGAUAACACCUCGUGUUACCCGUACGCUGUAAAUUAGCAGACGGUUUAAAAUAAUUCCGCUCCAUGAAUGUUUAUGCAUAGGCACACGAUUUUUGCUGUUCCUUUGAUGUUGGAAGCCUAACCGGGUUCGAGUCAAGUUCGACGACCUGAUUUGUCCCGUCGCUUCUAAUUUUAUGCGCCUAAA